GAUGAAGAACGCAGCGAAAUGCGAUAAGUAAUGUGAAUUGCAGAAUUCCGUGAAUCAUCGAAUCUUUGAACGCACAUUGCGCCCUCUGGUAUUCCGGGGGGCAUGCCUGUCCGAGCGUCAUUGCAACCCUCAAGCACGGCUUGUGUGUUGGGCGAUCGUCCCGUCUUAGGAGGGACGCGCCCGAAAGGCAGUGACGGCGUCGUGUUCCGGUGCCCGAGCGUAUGGGGCUUUGUCUUUCGCUCUAGUGGCCUGGCCGACUGUCCGGUCUAACCAUCAUUUACUUCUAGUGGUUGACCUCGGAUCAGGUAGGGUUACCCGCUGAACUUAAGCAUAUCAAUAAGCGGAGGAA
rnacentral:misc_RNA from 1 species